CAAGUCGAACGGGCUGUUUAUGCAGCCAGUGGCGGACGGGUGAGUAACACGUAGGUGACCUACCCCAAAGUCUGGGACAACUAGGAGAAAUCUUAGCUAAUCCUGGAUGUGGACAUCUACUUUGGUGGAUGUUUAAAGCUUCGGCGCUUUGGGAUGGGCCUGCGGCGCAUCAGGUAGUUGGUGGGGUAAUGGCCUACCAAGCCGACGACGCGUAGCUGGUCUGAGAGGACGAUCAGCCACAGGGGUACUGAGACACGGACCCCACUCCUACGGGAGGCAGCAGUUAGGAAUCUUCCGCAAUGGGCGAAAGCCUGACGGAGCGAUACCGCUUGAAGGACGAAGCCCUUCGGGGUGUAAACUUCUGAACUCGGGACGAUAAUGACGGUACCGAGGUAAUAGCACCGGCUAACUCCGUGCCAGCAGCCGCGGUAAUACGGAGGGUGCGAGCGUUACCCGGAUUUACUGGGUGUAAAGGGCGUGUAGGCGGUCUCUCAAGUCCGAUGCUAAAGACCGAAGCUCAACUUCGGGGGUGCGUUGGAUACUGUGAGGCUAGACGGUCGGAGAGGGUAGCGGAAUUUCCGGAGUAGCGGUGAAAUGCGCAGAUACCGGAAGGAACGCCAAUAGCGAAAGCAGCUACCUGGACGAUUUGUGACGCUGAGGCGCGAAAGCGUGGGGAGCAAACCGGAUUAGAUACCCGGGUAGUCCACGCCCUAAACGAUGAGUGCUGGGUGUCCGACAUCUGUUGGGUGCCGUAGCUAACGCGUUAAGCACUCCACCUGGGAAGUACGGUCGCAAGACUGAAACUCAAAGGAAAUUGACGGGGGCCCGCACAAGCGGUGGAGCAUGUGGUUUAAUUCGAAGCAACGCGCAGAA
rnacentral:rRNA from 1 species